rnacentral:rRNA from 1 species
UACGAAGGGGGCUAGCGUUGCUCGGAAUCACUGGGCGUAAAGGGCGCGUAGGCGGUCUUUUAAGUCGGGGGUGAAAGCCUGUGGCUCAACCACAGAAUUGCCUUCGAUACUGGGAGACUUGAGUUCGGAAGAGGUUGGUGGAACUGCGAGUGUAGAGGUGAAAUUCGUAGAUAUUAGCUAGAACACCAGUGGCGAAGGCGGCCAACUGGUCCGGUACUGACGCUGAGGUGCGAAAGCGUGGGGAGCAAACAGGG